GAAACCUGGAGUUGUUCUUUUUUCUUUAAUCAGUGAUGAAUAGUGAGCUGUUCUAGCUUUACACAGGGCUUUUUUUUAUAGAGCAACAAACUAUUUUACCAGGCUUAAUGAAGAUCUUCUAAAAUAGUGAGACACCAUUUCCUCUCCAGAUUAUGAGUUAUCUGCUUUAAGGACAGAAGAUAUUUACAGCCAGAGAAACAUCUCCCAGCUGGCAAUAGUCAUCUUGUAAUGGAUGACACUAAACAAAGGUCAGGAAUGGCUUUUCACACAGUGGACUAACACUUGGAUCUAUGCCAUCUCUUUCAAACAUGUAUCCUGGCUAUGAAUGCAGCCCAGCUUCCUCAACUUUUGCAUUUAUUCAAAAUAAGAUUGAAGGAACAGUCAUAGACAGUUAUGACAAAGGUGAGCUGGUCUCCAGUGAUGUUUAAAGCCUUGUCAGUGUGAACCGUGAAGGACUGAGGCAUCGCUGAGUGGAACCCCCUGAUGCAUUCUGCCAUCAGGUGGUUCCACUGCUCUGAAACUGGAGUUGACAGUCUUCAAGUAAAAUAUGUAAUGGUCUACAGCACAAACUCUAGUUUUGGUGCCUAAACCUAAAUGAAGAAAGAGUUAAAAUCAAAGUCGGCAUAAACAUACCUAAAAGAAUUGACAUAGCUAAUAAAAACUCAUUUAAACACCUAAAAAUGAAGCAAAGUCUAGUAAUGGGACUUUAAAUGUAACACUCGGGAAUCAUGUGACACUGCAACCAGCUGAUAGAAAACAACAGGCCAGAAAACACAAGCAAGUUACAAUUUAUCAGCCUUUAUGGAAAAUUCAUGUGUUUUGCACUGUGGUACAACAUAGCCAUUACUGCUUGCUAUGAGACGGGGUUGGCCUGUUUGCCUUUCUGGAUAUUAUCUUCCCCGGUACCCAGUCGAACUGAUGAGGGAAAAAAGAAGUUUGUGAAGCACACAGGAAGGUGGGCAAGAGCAGCAGACUGACUGAAAAACAAGCACCGGGACCAAAGGAGAGCAUGAAUAUUUCGAGAGGACAGCCGAGCACCAGCAGCCUCACAAAGAGCCUGAUUUUCAGACUGUGCUGUAAAAGACCUGUUCGUCUGAAUGUCAACAGCAACUGAAUGUUACACCUCCUCUAAUAAAACGCUCUUUUAAUGAA